rnacentral:rRNA from 1 species
GAGUUUGAUCCUGGCUCAGAAUGAACGUUGGCGGCGUGCUUAACACAUGCAAGUCGAACGAUAAAGUUCCUUCGUGGAACGAGUAUUAUGGCGCAACGGUGAGUAACGCGUAAGUAAUCUACCUUGGUUUUGGAAUAACUACGGGAAGCUGUAGCUAAUACCAGAUACGUUUAUUCUGUUACGGCUGUAUACCGGGAAAUGACCUCUUCUUGAAAGUUAUCGUGCUAAGAGGAGCUUGCGUACCAUUAGCUAGUUGGUAGGGUAAUGGCCUACCAAGGCGUCUAAGGUUAGCGGGUCUGAGAGGAUGAUCCGCCACACUGGAACUGGAACACGGACCGCACUCCUACGGGAGGUGCAGUGAGGAAUAUUGCGCAAUGGGGGAAACCCUGAGCAGCGACGCCGCGUGGAUGUGAAGGCCUUAGGGUCGUGGAAUCCUGUCACAUGGGAAUAAAUGUAUGAGGGAAUAAUACCUUUUAUACUUGACGGUACCAUCAAAGGAAGCACCGGCUAACUCCGUGCCAGCAGCCGCGGUAAUACGGAGGGUGCGAACGUUGUUCGGAAUUACUGGGCGUAAAGCGCGCGUAAGCGGUUUGUUAAGUCCUAUGUGAAAACCCAAUGCUCAACCUUGGACGUGCAUUUGAAACUAGCAGACUUGAGUACUGGAGGGGAUGGUGGAAUUCCCGGUGUAGAGGUGAAAUUCGUAGAUAUCGGGAGGAAUACCGGUGGCGAAAGCGACCAUCUGGCCAGAUACUGACGSUKAGGUGCGAAAGCGUGGGGAGCAACAGGAUUAGAUACCCUGGUAGUGCACGCCGUAAACGAUGUCAACUAGGUGUUGGGGGGUUUAUCGUCUCAGUGCAGGAGCUAACGCAAUAAGUUGACCGCCUGGGGAGUACGGUUGCAAGAUUAAAACUUAAAGGAAUUGAAGGGGGACCGCACAAGCGGUGGAGUCUGUGGUUUAAUUUGACGCAACGGGCAGAACCUUAACUUGUCUUGACCUCCCGGGAACCUCUUUGAAAUAAGAGAGUGCCCCUUUGGAGGAUCUUGAAGCCGGGUGUUCCAUGGCGUUGUUCAGUUGGUUUCGUGGGAUGUUGGGUUAAUUCCGGCAACGGGGGCAACCUUUUCCUUUAGUUCCCACCAUUUAGUUGGGCCAUUUUGAGGGACUGCCGGUGUCAAACCGGAGGAAGGUGGGGAUGACGUCAAGUCCUCAUGGCCUUUAUGACCAGGGCUACACACGUACUACAAUGGCGUGUACAAAGGGCAGCCAUUUCGCGAGAAGGAGCGAAUCUCUAAAAUAUUUUUCCGUCUGGGUUGGAGUUUGCAAAUUGAAUCCCUGAAGGUGGAAUUCAUUGUAAUUGUAGAAUCGCCUGUUAUGGUGAGUACGUUCCCGGGCCUUGUACACUCCCCCCGUCUCACCCCGGGAGAUGGUUGUUCACGAAGAAGUUGAGAGAACCCUUUGGGGGGGCUGACUACCAAGGUAGAGUUGGUAACUGGGGUGAAGUCGUAACAAGGUAGCC